CAACACCGCCUCCUCCACCUCGAACUCCUCGCAGUCGGAGCUCCUCAGCGUAAGCAUCUUCUUCUCACCCAUUGGUGUUGCUGAAUGCUAGUAAUGCUGGUGCGACGACAGGACUAAAUCCUAGCACGAAUCGAAUCGUAGCUACCUACGUGCGGCGCGCGGCAGGAUGAUUGUGAGGGAACAAGGCAAGGCCAUGACCUGGCCGUGACGAGACCUCUCCUUUUUAUAAAGUCCUGGAACGAGGAAAACGAACUGAAGGUCGUUUAGCCCGUCCACAAUGUAUGGCCGCCUGUUUUGUUGCAACAGCCUGAAUAUCUAUCUGCUGUAUGGAUGAUUUGCAACGGCCGUCACCACAAUUGUAUUACGGAACCUGAAUAUCUAUCUGUUGUAUGGUAC
rnacentral:lncRNA from 1 species